rnacentral:rRNA from 1 species
CCUACGGGAGGCAGCAGUGAGGAAUAUUGGUCAAUGGCCGUAAGGCUGAACCAGCCAAGUCGCGUGCAGGAAGAAGGAUCUAUGGUUUGUAAACUUCUUUUAUACGGGAAUAAAGGCAUCUACGUGUGGAUAUCUGAAUGUAUCCUAUGAAUAAGCAUCGGCUAACUCCGUGCCAGCAGCCGCGGUAAUACGGAGGAUGCGAGCGUUAUCCGGAUUUAUUGGGUUUAAAGGGUGCGUAGGUUGUCUGUUAAGUCAGCGGUGAAAGUUUGUGGCUCAACCAUAAAAUUGCCGUUGAAACUGGAAGACUUGAGUGUGUUUGAGGUAGGCGGAAUGUGUGGUGUAGCGGUGAAAUGCAUAGAUAUCACGCAGAACACCGAUUGCGAAGGCAGCUUACUAAGCCAUAACUGACGCUGAAGCACGAAAGCGUGGGGAUCAAACAGGAUUAGAUACCCGUGUAGUC